rnacentral:tRNA from 2 species
AGGGGAGUAGCUCAAUGGGUAGAGCGGCGGUCUCCAAAACCGUAGGUUGCGGGUUCAAGUCCUGUCUCCCCUGCCA